GGGUUGCUAACUCAACGGCAGAGUACUCGGCUUUUAA
rnacentral:tRNA from 7 species